CCUGCCCAAGAGAUCGGGAUAACACCUGGAAACAGAUGCUAAUACCGGAUAACGACAGAUGAUGCCUAUCAACUGUUUAAAAGAUGGUUCUGCUAUCACUCUUGGAUGGACCUGCGGUGCAUUAGCUAGUUGGUAGGGUAACGGCCUACCAAGGCGAUGAUGCAUAGCCGAGUUGAGAGACUGAUCGGCCACAUUGGGACUGAGACACGGCCCAAACUCCUACGGGAGGCAGCAGCA
rnacentral:rRNA from 1 species